rnacentral:rRNA from 1 species
CGAGUUGAGAGGGGUAAGCCCUCGGCAUAUUGCUCAGCAACACGCGGAUAACCUGCCCUUGGGUUUGGGGUAACCCCGGGAAACUGGGACUAAUACCGGAUAGAUCAAAGAUACUGGAAUGUUCUUUGUUCGAAAGCUCCGGCGCCCAAGGAUGGGUCUGCGGCCUAUCAGGUAGUAGUGGGUGUAACGUACCUACUAGCCUACGACGGGUAAGGGUUGUGAGAGCAAGAGCCCUGAGAUGGAUUCUGAGACAUGAAUCCAGGCCCUACGGGGUGCAGCAGGCGCGAAAACUUUACACUGCGGGAAACCGCGAUAAGGGGACCCCGAGUGCCAGCACCUAGUGCUGGCUGUCCAGCUGUUCAAAUAACAGUUGUUAGCAAGGGCCGGGCAAGACCGGUGCCAGCCGCCGCGGUAACACCGGCGGCCCGAGUGGUAGCCGUUAUUAUUGGGUUUAAAGGGUCCGUAGCCGGCCUAUUAAGUCUCUUGGGAAAUCUGGCGACUCAAUCGUCAUGCGUUCAAGAGAUACUGGUAGGCUUGGGACCGGGAGAGGUGGGAGGUACUCCAGGGGUAGGGGUGAAAUCUCGUAAUCCUUGGGGGACCACCGAUGGCGAAGGCAUCCCACCAGAACGGGUCCGACGGUGAGGGAUGAAAGCUGGGGGAGCGAACCGGAUUAGAUACCCGGGUAGUCCCAGCUGUAAACGAUGCAGACUAGGUGUUUGAACGGCCACGUGCCGUUCUAGU